rnacentral:rRNA from 1 species
UGGGGAAUAUUGCACAAUGGGCGCAAGCCUGAUGCAGCAAUGCCGCGUGUGUGAAGAAGGCCUGCGGGUUGUAAAGCACUUUUAUCGGGAAAGAAAAAAUCAAGGUUAAUACCCUUGAUCUUGACGGUACCCGUUGAAUAAGCACCGGCUAACUCCGUGCCAGCAGCCGCGGUAAUACGGAGGGUGCGAGCGUUAAUCGGAAUUACUGGGCGUAAAGCGAGUGUAGGCGGCGACGUAAGUCGGAUGUGAAAGCCCCGGGCUCAACCUGGGAAUUGCAUUCGAUACUGCGUGGCUCGAGUCUGACAGAGGGAUGUGGAAUUCCGGGUGUAGCGGUGAAAUGCGUAGAUAUCCGGAGGAACACCAGUGGCGAAGGCGGCAUCCUGGGUCAAGACUGACGCUGAGGCUCGAAAGCGUGGGGAGCAAACAGGAUUAGAUACCCCCGUAGUCC